CCCCUCUCUCCCCCUGUACCUCUCUGCUGUCAUGCAUGUUGUACAUGCAACACAUCUGGGCGUUUUGGCCCCUGUUAAUGGCAAAGAUUCAGGUGGGAAAAACUCCCCCGUUGAAAAUUCAAAAACGAAAAAGUUAAGACAGACAACUAGAUUUGCUGUUUUCUCUUGAUGCUUCAUUUUGAGCCAAUAAAAUCCACACUCUAUCGAAAAAAGACAACUAGAUUUGCUGUUUUUGGUUGUGUGUGGUCAACUAUUCGUAGUUCUAUUUCUGAUGAUAAUUAGUUUGACAGCCACAUAUUGACAACAAACUGCAAAGAAUGGCAAAUUAGAAGAAUUCAUGUGCCUACUGAAAUAGUAAUGGAACAAAGAGAAAAGAAAGCAGCCAUUGAAAAUUCAAAAUUUGCUGCUUUUUGAUGGGGGGAAAUUUCCCAAUUGAAAAUUCAAAAAAAAAAAGUUAAGACAGACAACAAGAUUUGCUGCCUUUUGGUUGUGUGUUGUUAAUUAUUCAUGGUUCAUUACUGAUGGUAAUUGUGCAAGGAUGAGAUUACUGAAAUGAUGAUAGUGCAGAAAAAGGAAGAUAACACAGAUACCAAAGAUAGUACAAGGAUGAAAUUA
rnacentral:lncRNA from 1 species